GGUGAAUGAUCCGGAAAGGGAGUUGCGGGCAGCUGCCACAGGAAUCCAAAUGCACAGCUUUUCCCGCCAAAACCUGCUUGCGUCAUGCUGUCGCAAAAGCGCACACCUCUGCCGUAAAGCGGGCCGGCGCGCGUUGUCCUAUCCCAGGCUCUGCAGAGGAGCGACUUCAGUAGACCGACCGCGCAAGGACCCUUCCUUCUAAUACUGGCUGAAAUUCUGAUGUGGCCGUAGUUAAGACACAAGCUGACCAGAUUUGGUAUUGACGACUGCUUUGGUGAGAACUGAUCUCUGAGUCCGAAUGAAAUGGAAAUGGCACGGGGCGUGUGCCACGCCUUACGUUGCUCCACAGAGGCACCGAAGCCUCCAUCCAGACUGCGCCACCAGUUGGGCCAAGAACCCAGGUUCCCUGCCACUCAGAGCCUGCAAAGGCUGCACCGUUAAGUACGUAAACCGACCUGCUCUUGACCUCGGAGCCCCAGGGAGGAAGGCUCAAACUAAGCGACACAGAGUGCUCUGUAA
rnacentral:lncRNA from 1 species